CAAAAAGAAAACCAACCCCUCCAUACAGAUUUAGAGGAAACACUUGAAACAGGAAAUUCUGGCACUUGGAUUGGGCAUUGAGAGAAGGUCAGAUACAAAGGGGAUGCAGUGGGGUGGAGAGUAAAUCAUUGUUUAUUGGCAUUUGACAUUCUGAAGAGCAGUGAAAAUGGUCAGCAUAAGCUACACCAGUGAGGGAGUUUCACAAAGAUGAGUGAGCAGCGUUACUGCCAGAGCAAUGCCCUGUGCCAACACCAAACAGGCCUUGCCAAUGGCAGGACUUGGCACUUCACACCUGAAGUCCUUUUUUCUGGCAUAUGCUGAUGCUGCUGGUGAAUCACACAGCGAUUCACAGAGCGGAUUUUCCCCCAUCAGAUAAAAUUUUGAACUGUUGAUUUAUGCACACACCCCUCUCUGGGAAGGUGAUGUCUCUAUCCUGCUGCCAACCAGUGCCUUCUAUGGACUAAAGAAUAAUUGAGGUGGGAAGAGACUUCUGGGGGCUCCUUCUCCAACCCCUUGCUUAGAGCAAUCCUAAUACUUCAGGUUGCUCAGGAUCUUGUCCAGGUGAACUCUGAAUAUCCAAGGAUGGAAAUUCCUCUGUUGGUCUGAAGCCCUGCUCCAGUGUAUGACCUGAGGUGCUACUGAUGCUGCUUGAAAGCUCAAGUUUCUUGGCAAUGUAAUGACAGUCACAGCCUGAUGAAAAUGUGCAUUUCGGAUGGUUUUCCCUUGUGAACUUGUCUAAGUUCCACAUCACCUUUUGAAAAAAAAUGAGUGGAGCUUCCUGAAUAUACCACAACCACACAAAAGCUGCGCCUGAUGGCCUCUGAUCUGAAAACACUGCAGCAGGAAAUCUCCUCUAGAGAUUUAUUUGACAGAAUGAGUUGACAUGGGCAACUCAGAAACUUGUCCAACAAAGAAACCCAACCAUGCAGUAAACUGGAUAUGACAGCUCAUCCUCUGGCUGAAGUCUUUGCAUACCUAUUGGACUGGCAGAUCAGAAUAACUGCACCACCAUGGGCAAACAUGUGAACUGACUUUUGUGAGGUUUUUAUGACUUUUUUCAGGUUUGAAGAGCCACUCAGGUUAUGUACUCGGGUUUAUUGCAAUUGAAAAUACAUUCCAGCGGAGAAGGUCAAUAACAAAAAUAUAAGAAGUCAUCCAACAGUCAUGAAAACCUGCCAGUUUUCUUCUGCAUUUUCAGCUGAAAAGGAUGAGAGAGCAGACAGAGUGAGGGACUGUCUGGGACAGGAGUGGAGUCAUCUCAGCAUGGAAAGCCAAUGAUGCUGUCACAGUCUCCAGAUUUAGCUGCUGUGAAAAGCUGAGCCACCAGGUUUAUUUUCUGUUUGUGAGAAAAUAUUGCCAACCAAGAAAAUCUGAGUAGUCUUUUCCACACCUAGGACUGAGCUUGGUAACACAUCAGGAAAAUGUUUGAUCUGUGCUCAGAGCUGUGCAGUAUUGCUUUGCAAAGCUGUGUUUUGUUCCUUGGUUCUCCUAAUUGUGGAGGAAGGCUUUUCAGAUGGACAUUCCCAUACAAAUGUCCCAAACAGAAAUUGCUAAAAGAAGGACCUUCAGUGGGGAGUUUGUGGAAGCAAUGGCUUAAAUUAAAACUAUAGUGUUUGCAAUCCCACACAGCUGUGCUGCAAUCCCAAACAUCAAUCCUGCAAUCCCACACAUGUCAGCUCAGCCUGGAGCAAAGGAGGCUCA